rnacentral:lncRNA from 1 species
AGAAAACCCAUCCAGAUACCAGAAGAGGACAGACUAAGAGUUCAUGUUAUAUAAGUUGUAGAACUUCUCCUGCUAUUGUACCACCAAAGAAGUUUCGCCAGUGUCCAGAGCCAACUUCGACAGUUGAAAAACUUGGUCUGAAAAAAGGUCCUCGGAAAGCAUUUGAGUUGUCCCAGCGGUCUCUGGAGUGUAUAGUCCAAUUACGUGACCACGGCAAGACUGUUGGAGUAGUUGAAGCCCCCAAAAAGACUAAAUUAAUUUCUCCUCAGACUCUCUCUAUCAAAAAUAAUAAGAAGCUUCUGACAAGCCAGGAUCUUCAAUUUCAAAGGCU